rnacentral:tRNA from 1 species
GGGCGUUUGGCGCAACGGUAGCGCGCCUGCAUGGCAUGCAGGAGGCUGAGGGUUCGAAUCCCUCAACGUCCA